rnacentral:ncRNA from 1 species
GGGUCUGGGUUGUAAAUCCAGAGGUAAUCUUUCGAUGGUCGGGCCGCCAUCU